AUGGUGAUACAGUUCGUCAUGGCGAAGAUGGCAGUCGAGGAGGGAAGCUCCGACAGAAUCCUCCACCUUCAAUGACCGUACAGAGGAUUGUUCCCAAUGGCCACAUUUGUUUCAUCCUUGUAAAGGUCAAAAAAUGUCAAAUUCUGGAGUCCAGCUUCUUGGCUUCUCCCUGGCCGUCCUCGGCUUCAUUGGGACAAUAGCAUGCACGGCCAUGGUGGAGUGGAAAGCUUCGUCGUACUUGGGGAGCAACAUCAUCACAGCUCAGGCGAUGUAUGAGGGUCUGUGGAAGAGCUGCAUGUGGCAGACCACCGGGCAGAUGCAGUGUAAAGUCUACGACUCAUUCCUUCAGCUGCCAUCGAACAUACAGGUGACCCGGGGGCUCAUGUGUGCAGCCAUCUUCCUCUGCUUCAUAUCCAUAAUGGUGACAGUGGUGGGAAUGGAGUGCACCACCUUUAUGGGUAAGCAACCGCAGAAGAAGUCCAAAGUAGCUCUGGCUGGAGGAGUGAUCUUCAUUAUAGCUGGUGUGGUUGCCCUGAUUGGAACAGCCUGGUAUGGCCACAGAAUAGCCCAGGACUUCUACAGCCCUUUAUCUCCCACUAGCUCCAGGUCUGAAUUCGGGUCUGCCUUGUACGUCGGAUGGGGAGCGGCCUGCAUGUGCAUCAUUGGUGGGGGCUUCCUGUGCUGUAUGUGUUCAGACAGGCGCUUCUCCGAUAAAGGCUCCAGCUACCCUUCGUCCAGCUCUGCAGGAGGCAGAGGCUACGUGUGAGGAGGAGCUCUGGCUCAGCCACCAGUCCACCGGAAUAUACAGCUCUAUGUCAAUAAACGCCAGAAACUCUUACUCGUUCUGAAGCUCUUCCUUCAAGAAGUCAUCGCAACAUGGCUCCUGUAUUAACCCUGGCAACGUUUUUACCGCCAUGGGAGAUUUCUCAAACAUGUAUGAAAGAAUCAAGGCAACACACCAGGUUGUUCUGACGUGUUUUCCAGCCCACCACCUGCUGGUUCAAGAUGAACCAGCAGAAGAGGGAAGGAAUCGGAUGAAUGCAAACAUCUCCACGCUUUUAAUGUGGCAGAUAAAAAUCACACAAAAACAAACCAAAACACAUUUGAAUAUUCUUCGUUUUCACGUUGCUGAGAUUUCAGAUAACGACUGUUAGUUAAAUUCAACGGAUUUGUUAACUAACUGAAGAAUUGGUGAAAAUGUGUCGCCUGGAGGAAUUUCCUUCACCUGGAAACCAGACCAGCUGUUCCAACAUGCCUGUUCUCUUCACGAAACAUCUCAGGAGACAUUUGUUGCGACAUAAUAGAAUGCCUCCAAAGUAUGCCUUUAUUAUCUGCAAGAAAAAGCAGGAAGAGUGUCUGGAGGGAAGGUUUUCCUCCUCCUCCCUCUGACUGGAGAACGGCUCUUCUUAUCGGACUCUGUUUCUGGUUCAGUGUGAUGAUGCUCCGACGGGCUGGUGGAGAGUUGACCUUUGACUGUAGGAGAAACGUCACCGCAACACUGGACAGAGAAAGUUUGGAAAAUUUAGGGGACUUUCUCAAUCCACUCUAAGUGUUUCAGACAACACUUAGAGUGGAGAGAGGGCGCCACCCUGUGGCCAGGCCUUUCAUUACAGUUAAAAGUAGUAAAUAUUGUAAAGGUGAACACACAGUUAGGUAUUAACUUCUUACACUUUUGGGGGGGUGAUGACUUUUAGGAACAUUUUUACUAUACUGUGCUUUUUACUUUUACUUGAGUGUUUUUAUUCUUUAUUA